GGGGUGAAGUCGUAACAAGGUAGCCCUAGGGGAACCUGGGGCUGGAUCACCUCCUUUAAAUAAGUUAUCCGAUUUUCGGAGCAUCCUCACAAGUUAUCUGUCCACCUGUUAAGCAGAUACAGACCUGUUGCUUGAUACAAGCAGCUGUUCUGCGGUAGAGACUCGGGUCUGUAGCUCAGUUGGUUAGAGCGCACCCCUGAUAAGGGUGAGGUCGGAGGUUUAAAUCCUCCCAGACCCACCAAUUUCCGCCAUCCGCCAUUGAUCAUGAAAAUCAUUUUUGGCUAGAUGCGAAAAAGUUAUUGGGGCCAUAGCUCAGCUGGGAGAGCGCCUGCCUUGCACGCAGGAGGUCGGGAGUUCGAUCCUCCCUGGCUCCACCAAUUUCGAGUGUCAAGUGGCUAGCGAGAAACGCUAGCCACUUUGCAUUUAUGUAAAGUCUGCUCUUUAAAAAUUUAGGUUAGAUCGCAGAUAGGCGAUAUCGAAAGAUAUCGUAUAUCUACAAUAUGUAGUAUCUCAAGUUGUGAAACUUAAGAUUGGGCAUGUUGUACUCAAAUCAGCAUUGAUCGAUCCCAGAACUUUUGGGGUUAUAUGGUCAAGUGAAUAAGCGCAUACGGUGGAUGCCUUGGCAGUAA
rnacentral:misc_RNA from 1 species